AGGUUGGGUUUAGGCAGGAUGUGCGCCAAAAGGAAAUCAGGCAGAGCAAGGCUCUUCAGUCCCCAGGCUUAUCCCAUGCUGGGCGUAUGUGGGCCACCUCCCUCUGUGGACGGUUCCCUCCAGUUCACCCGGCCAGGGCGAGGAGCUUCUCGCUGUUAGCAACCUCAGGAGCCCUCGCCCGUCCCUAAGACCCUGCGCCUGUUACUGUCCAGGGCUCACAGCCUCCCUAAUCAGUGGACAUUGAUAAGAGGCCAGACAGGACGAUUCAAGCAAGGCUGUGUUGGGGUCCUUGCUGCCACAGGGGGGAGUGAACACCGACAGUAGUUUCUCUUGCUUGCCGGCUUGUUGGGCAGGGUGGGAGGUGGGGGUGAUCUCACAUGGGGCAAGGGUCCCAGCGGGUCCUGGGGUUGGGCCACAGGGGUGGCUUAGGGGAUCUGCUUACUUGGUGCCUUCUCUCUCCCUCCGUCUUUUUAUGCCCGUCUCACACUCUCCUUCCUCCACUACAGACACGCGCCUCUCUUGACAACAGCCUGUCCAUCCCCGUCUCGUUCCUCCGCCUCCUUUUCCUCCUCCUCAUUCUUCUUAACCACGAGGAAAGAAAAUCGGGUCACAGUACCCACAAAGCGCAGCGAGGACCCCCUAGUUACUGUGACCCCGCUAGGCUCUCCGCGGCAGGGUCUCGUUUUCUGUGACUGCUCUUUGGUUCCUUUACUGGACACACGUUCCUUCCUCCUGUGUGUUGCCGACACGUGUCUGAGAAUCUUGAUCGCUUGUGUGGCGCUUCAGGUUUGCACAGCAGUUCAGCGAGUAGUGUUUCCUCAAUGCAUCCUCUGUGAAGCUGAGUGGGAUGGUACCCAUUUCCCAGAUGAGGACACCGAGGCUUAAGAGGACCAGUAAGUUACCCAGAAUCACACAGCUCCUGAGUGGCAGAGGGAACCCUCCAGCCAGGGUCUGCUGGCUCAUAAAUGUCAUGCUCUUCCCACGAGAGCCUACAGGCAGAAUAUACAUUCUUUGAGACCAAGUAUUGUGUUUUUCUCUGUUUUGAAUCCUGUUGGUUUUUGCCAAACAUUUUAGGUGAAUCAGUGAAUGAGUGAAUGAAUGAAGCCACGAUCUGUCGAGUCCAAAUGCUGCUCGUGUGCCUGAGUUACGGAGGUCUUGAAGUUCCUGCUUUGGACCCCAGUGCCACCAGGGCUGCUGUGGCCUGAAUGACAAAGAGACGCAGGCACUCCCCUCCUCCCAUAAAUCUUGCAAAUCAGCAUUGUCUGUGCAGAGCAGGGCCCAGGUGUCAUGACAGCAAACACCAAGAGACCCAGAAGGCUGAUGUGAGACAGUGCCUCCCGCCCCCCAAACACUGGCCGGUGCUAAGUCUGCAGAAUAUUUAAAUAAGGGGUUAAUUUAUAAAGUGAGCCCCAGGAAAGUUUCCAGGAUGGCCGUGCGUGUGCCUCAUAAAUCGGCACAAAUUGAAUCUAGCUUUCUGUGCCCGUCAGCUCCCAGGCAAACGGAAAUUUAUUGAGAGGUGUCUAGGUUGGCAUCGAAAGAAACACAGUCAAUGCAAAAAGUGCAUCCUCAGGGGCGUGUGAACCAGGGACGGAGGCUGGCAGAUGCAUCAGGUCCAGAAUGUCAAAUCCCCGCCACCAGGGAUUCGUUAAGUACAACCUCGUUUGUUGCGGGUGGAGGCCAGGUCCCAGCAAUCGCUGUCCUGUUCUCGAAGCUUCCACGGAGUCCUAAAUAGAGAAAGGAUUUUGUAUAUGGCGGAGGAUUUGUGGUUUGGGGGCAGGGUGGGGAGGAAGGUGCCGACAGGACCGCUAACCUUGGUGUUUUGCAUAUGUCGCAUUACUAGACUAGUUUAUCCGGGACCCAAAAUAUUGGGAAGGAUAGAAAUAUGAAGGUUUAGUUUUAUUGUUAUUUGGGUAUUAUUAUUAUGACUCUGCAUAGCAUUCCGGGAUGCCUCCUGCAUUCAUCCAAGGGAUCACAGCCAGGCCCUGUGCUGAGAACCUUAUACACGUUAUAUCCGGUUUUUUUCAAGGACUCAAUGCUUUCAGGAGGUCUGGAGGUUGUUGCAAAUGGGCCCAUUUUACGGAGGAGGCAAGUGAAGCUCCUAAAUUGAAGCCCAAGUAUCGUUAGCUACUACACGGAUUUGAGUCCCAUUUACCCUGUUCCAAAGGCUGCCCUUUUUUUUUUUUUUUUUUUUUUUUAAAUCCAACAUUGCUUCUCAUUAUUGUAGUGGUCUUUUCAUUAUCUAGGACACAAGUGCCAGCAUCUGGCAAAAUGUCUCUGGCUAGCCAGGUUAUUUAAUAUUUCAAUCUAACUUUUAUUCUUUUAGCUACAACCUGUGAAGGGAUGUGCAAAAUACCCUAAUGGUGAAAAGAGGCUUGAGUCCUGCCUAUUGAUAACUGCCGACUCCUCUGUAAGGGGGCCAGCAAGAAAGAUGGCUUUAAAAUACAAAGUGUCCAUGAGCAUAUUGGUGAAGUAGCUUCAUGUGGAAGAAAAAGCUGGAGAUAUGGUGGACCUGCCGUGAAGUCAAACAGUUGGAGCACUUAAGGAUGUGCGUAUACAAAUGGGCUUCAAGCCUUAUGUCAGUCCACUUGGCUAGACCACGUAGUAUGAUCGCAUUUCCAAGAAGAAACAGAGACGUUAAGCAGCUUGCCUAAGAACACACAGCACUUGGGGAGUUCACCCUUUACUAGUGUGUCCUCUUGAAGAUGUGGGCGAACUGGACCAGAAGGAAAAACUAAAGU
ensembl:lncRNA